ACAAUGAAGAGUUUGAUCCUGGCUCAGGAUGAACGCUAGCUACAGGCUUAACACAUGCAAGUCGAGGGGCAUCAGGAAGAAAGCUUGCUUUCUUUGCUGGCGACCGGCGCACGGGUGAGUAACACGUAUCCAACCUGCCCUUUACUCGGGGAUAGCCUUUCGAAAGAAAGAUUAAUACCCGAUAGCAUAAUGAUUCCGCAUGGUUUCAUUAUUAAAGGAUUCCGGUAAAGGAUGGGGAUGCGUUCCAUUAGGUUGUUGGUGAGGUAACGGCCCACCAAGCCUUCGAUGGAUAGGGGUUCUGAGAGGAAGGUCCCCCACAUUGGAACUGAGACACGGUCCAAACUCCUACGGGAGGCAGCAGUGAGGAAUAUUGGUCAAUGGGCGGUAGCCUGAACCAGCCAAGUAGCGUGAAGGAUGAAGGCUCUAUGGGUCGUAAACUUCUUUUAUAUAAGAAUAAAGUGCAGUAUGUAUACUGUUUUGUAUGUAUUAUAUGAAUAAGGAUCGGCUAACUCCGUGCCAGCAGCCGCGGUAAUACGGAGGAUCCGAGCGUUAUCCGGAUUUAUUGGGUUUAAAGGGAGCGUAGGUGGACUGGUAAGUCAGUUGUGAAAGUUUGCGGCUCAACCGUAAAAUUGCAGUUGAUACUGUCAGUCUUGAGUACAGUAGAGGUGGGCGGAAUUCGUGGUGUAGCGGUGAAAUGCUUAGAUAUCACGAAGAACUCCGAUUGCGAAGGCAGCUCACUGGACUGCAACUGACACUGAUGCUCGAAAGUGUGGGUAUCAAACAGGAUUAGAUACCCUGGUAGUCCACACAGUAAACGAUGAAUACUCGCUGUUUGCGAUAUACAGUAAGCGGCCAAGCGAAAGCAUUAAGUAUUCCACCUGGGGAGUACGCCGGCAACGGUGAAACUCAAAGGAAUUGACGGGGGCCCGCACAAGCGGAGGAACAUGUGGUUUAAUUCGAUGAUACGCGAGGAACCUUACCCGGGCUUAAAUUGCAGUGGAAUGAUGUGGAAACAUGUCAGUGAGCAAUCACCGCUGUGAAGGUGCUGCAUGGUUGUCGUCAGCUCGUGCCGUGAGGUGUCGGCUUAAGUGCCAUAACGAGCGCAACCCUUAUCUUCAGUUACUAACAGGUCAUGCUGAGGACUCUGGAGAGACUGCCGUCGUAAGAUGUGAGGAAGGUGGGGAUGACGUCAAAUCAGCACGGCCCUUACGUCCGGGGCUACACACGUGUUACAAUGGGGGGUACAGAAGGCAGCUAGCGGGUGACCGUAUGCUAAUCCCAAAAUCCUCUCUCAGUUCGGAUCGAAGUCUGCAACCCGACUUCGUGAAGCUGGAUUCGCUAGUAAUCGCGCAUCAGCCACGGCGCGGUGAAUACGUUCCCGGGCAUUGUACACACCGCCCGUCAAGCCAUGGGAGCCGGGGGUACCUGAAGUACGUAACCGCAAGGAUCGUCCUAGGGUAAAACUGGUGACUGGGGCUAAGUCGUAACAAGGUAGCCGUACCGGAAGGUGCGGCUGGAACACCUCCUUU
rnacentral:rRNA from 1 species